CCUACGGGUGGCAGCAGUGAGGAAUAUUGGUCAAUGGACGCAAGUCUGAACCAGCCAUGCCGCGUGCAGGAAGACGGCUCUAUGAGUUGUAAACUGCUUUUGUACGAGGGUAAACGCAGAUACGCGUAUCUGUCUGAAAGUAUCGUACGAAUAAGGAUCGGCUAACUCCGUGCCAGCAGCCGCGGUAAUACGGAGGAUUCAAGCGUUAUCCGGAUUUAUUGGGUUUAAAGGGUGCGUAGGCGGUCGGAUAAGUUAGAGGUGAAAUCCCGAGGCUCAACUUCGGAAUUGCCUCUGAUACUGUUCGGCUAGAGAGUAGUUGCGGUAGGCGGAAUGUAUGGUGUAGCUGUGAAAUGCUUAGAGAUCAUACAGAACACCGAUUGCGAAGGCAGCUUACCAAGCUACUUCUGACGUUGAGGCACGAAAGCGUGGGGAGCAAACAGGAUUAGAUACCCUAGUAGUC
rnacentral:rRNA from 1 species